UGGGGAAUAUUGGACAAUGGGCGAAAGCCUGAUCCAGCCAUGCCGCGUGUGUGAAGAAGGUCUUCGGAUUGUAAAGCACUUUAAGUUGGGAGGAAGGGCAUUAACCUAAUACGUUAGUGUUUUGACGUUACCGACAGAAUAAGCACCGGCUAACUCUGUGCCAGCAGCCGCGGUAAUAAAGAGGGUGCAAGAGUUAAUCGGAAUUACUGGGCGUAAAGCGCGCGUAGGUGGUUUGUUAAGUUGGAUGUGAAAUCCCCGGGCUCAACCUGGGAACUGCAUUCAAAACUGACUGACUAGAGUAUGGUAGAGGGUGGUGGAAUUUCCUGUGUAGCGGUGAAAUGCGUAGAUAUAGGAAGGAACACCAGUGGCGAAGGCGACCACCUGGACUAAUACUGACACUGAGGUGCGAAAGCGUGGGGAGCAAACA
rnacentral:rRNA from 1 species